GAAACACCCCACCACCACGGACAGCCUGGACCCCACCGGCCUGCGCGCCGUGGUCCCACCGCCCUGCCGCCGCCCUGCACGACAGGAGCUGAUGAGCCAACGCCUGGCGCUAUGGGCAUUGAUUGGCCGAUCAAUGAGUUAAUUGAUAAACUGCAGUCUCCUUAACCUUGACAAACCCACAUCCUACUCCCUCCGAAAGAACCUGCUGACCCCACCCUCCCGCCACCGGGGGCCUCACCAGGACCUCCUCUUGGGUGGUGCUGGAAUCUUACUGGCUGCUCCCACACCUCAUGGGAGGUCGUAUGGACUGAAAUGAAAGUGUUGCCACACAGACCAGCUGUUGCCUUGGAGACAAUGUCAGUUUAUUGAGUAUCUACUAUGCACUACAUGGUCUUUCCUGGCAUUUACAUCCCUGAACUCUAAUGCCCACUGAUCGUUGAGGAGGGUUAUCCCAGUUUGGGGGAAGAGGAAAUGAGUGCCUGUGAGGGAGGUGAGAGCAGAGACCACAGCCACUCUGCCAAGACACUAAUUAUUGUAUCAUCCCUCACACAAUUAAAAUCUGAGAAGCAUCUAGGAUGCUUCAAGAAA